AUUCUCUAAGGUCACACUCCUGGCAAGGAACAGAGCCGGAGUCCUGCCCAGACUGUGGGCCUCAAUGCCAGGGCUCUCCUGCAGCCCCCAGUGCCUCUGGGGAGGUGGCUGUGAGCAGAGGAGCAGAGGAGCUCUGAGUCAGCAGGACCUGGACAGGUUCUGGGCUUCGAGGAAUGGAGGGACACCCUGGCUUCCCACAGCCUGGGUGUAGGUGGCAUCCUCUGACAGAAAGUUCCUGCUCUGCCACUGGCUGGCAUCUACUUCUGCACCUCAGUUUCCCACCUGUCAAAGAUCCAGCCUCUUUGAUGACUACACAGCGGUGUGACCACCAGGAGGUGAUGACUGGGGGCCUCCUUGGAAGCUGGCUGCCACAGAGAGAGAGCAUCCUUUCAACUCGCCUGUUUUAUGGAUGAAGAAGCUGAGGCUGAGAGGGGCAGGGACUUGCCCAGGGCCACACAGCAAGUUUGGGCCCCAGCUAGAAGCAGUCUACGUUGGCCUAGGGGAAAGGAGCCUUGUCCCUUGCAAGCCUGGAGGGAAGAGGAGAGGCCCUCAGGAGGCAGAUGCCAGGCACCCAGAGCCAGUGGGCUGGCCAACCCCCUGAGAACUGGCUAGAGGGUGGAACCCCCUCCUCUGCCUCCGCCUGGAGUGUGAGUAAUAAACCAAGGCUGCUUCUGCCAGCCCGCGGCAGGCUCCCACCCUCUCCACCACCCGUCUCUUCAUUCACGCAGGCCUGUGGGAGGCCCAGGUUGC
rnacentral:lncRNA from 1 species